GGGGGUUCAACCUAGAGUGUAGGGGGUUCAACCUAGAGUGUAGGGGGUUCAACCUAGAGUGUAGGGGGUUCAACCUAGAGUGUAGGGGGUUCAACCUAGAGUGUAGGGGGUUCAACCUAGAGUGUAGGGGGUUCAACCUAGAGUGUAGGGGGGUUCAACCUAGAGUGUAGGGGGUUAGGGUUCAACCUAGAGUGUAGGGGGUUAGGGUUCAACCUAGAGUGUAGGGGUUAGGGUUCAACCUAGAGUGUAGGGGGUUAGGGUUCAACCUAGGAUGUAGGGGGUUAGGGUUCAACCUAGGGUGUAGGGGGUUAGGGUUCAACCUAGGGUGUAGGGGUUAGGGUUCAACCUAGAGUGUAGGGGGUUAGGGUUCAA